rnacentral:rRNA from 1 species
GACGAACGCUGGCGGCGUGCCUAAUACAUGCAAGUAGAACGCACAGUUUAUACCGUAGCUUGCUACACCAUAAACUGUGAGUUGCGAACGGGUGAGUAACGCGUAGGUAACCUGCCUGGUAGCGGGGGAUAACUACUGGAAACGCUAGCUAAUACCGCAUAAUAUUGAUUAUUGCAUGAUAAUUGAUUUAAAGAAGCUAUGGCAUCACGACCAGAUAGACCUUCGUUGUGUUAGCUAGUAGGUGAGGUAACGGCUCAUCUAGGCGACGAUACAGAGCCGACAUGGGAGGGUGGGCGGCCGCCCUGGGACUGUGACACGGCACAGAGUGACUGAGGAGGCAGCCGUAGGGAAUCUUGGGGAAUGGACGGGAGUCUGACCGAGAAACGCCGAGUGAGUGAGGAAGGAUGUCGGGUGGUAAAGGUCUGUUGUAAGGGAAGAAAGCGUGUGAGGGUGGAAAGUUCACACUGUGACGGUAUCUGAACAGAAAGGGACGGCUAACUACGUG